rnacentral:rRNA from 1 species
UAGGUUACGUCAAGACUCACGGUUAUUAACCGUAGGCUUUUCUUCUCUACUGAAAGUGCUUUACAACCCGCAGGCCUUCUUCACACACGCGGCAUUGCUGGAUCNGGCUUGCGCCCAUUGUCCAAUAUUCCCC